rnacentral:rRNA from 1 species
CCCUUAGAUGUUCUGGGCCGCACGCGCGCUACACUGAUGCAUUCAACGAGUUUCUUCCUGGUCCGAGAGGAAUGGGUAACCUUUUGAAAGUGCAUCGUGAUAGGGAUAGACUAUUGCAAUUAUUGGUCUUCAACGAGGAAUUCCUAGUAGACGUAGUUCAUCAAACUGCAUCGAUUACGUCCCUGCCCUUUGUACACACCGCCCGUCGCUCCUACCGAUUGAAUGCUCAGGUGAGCCAUUCGGACUUUCAUCAUGCUGGUUUCCAGUUUUGAUGAAGGAAAGUCUUGCGAACCUUAUCAUUUAGAGGAAGGAGAAGUCGUAACA